rnacentral:rRNA from 1 species
GACGAACGCUGGCGGCGUGCUUAACACAUGCAAGUCGAACGGAAAGGCCCUGCUUGCAGGGUACUCGAGUGGCGAACGGGUGAGUAACACGUGGGUGAUCUGCCCUGCACUUCGGGAUAAGCCUGGGAAACUGGGUCUAAUACCGGAUAAGACCAUCGUUUAGUGUCGGUGGUGGAAAGUUUUUCGGUGCAGGAUGAGCUCGCGGCCUAUCAGCUUGUUGGUGGGGUAAUGUCCUACCAAGGCGUCGACGGGUAGCCGGCCUGAGGGGGUGGGCGGCCACAUUGGGACUGGGACACGGCCCAGACUCCUACGGGAGGCAGCAGUGGGGAAUAUUGCACAAUGGGCGCAAGCCUGAUGCAGCGACGCCGCGUGGGGGAUGAAGGCCUUCGGGUUGUAAACUCCUUUCAACCAUGACGAAGCAUUAUGUGACGGUAGUGGUAGAAGAAGCACCGGCUAACUACGUGCCAGCAGCCGCCGUAA